ACGGCUCAGUAACACGUGGUCAACAUACCCAGAGGACGUGGAUAACCUCGGGAAACUGAGGAUAAACCGCGAUAGACCAUAAUGUCUGGAAUGAUUUAUGGUUCAAAUCUAUAUGGCCUCUGGAUUGGACUGCGGCCGAUCAGGCUGUUGGUGAGGUAAUGGCCCACCAAACCUGAAACCGGUACGGGCUCUGAGAGGAGAAGCCCGGAGAUGGGCACUGAGACAAGGGCCCAGGCCCUAUGGGGCGCAGCAGGCGCGAAACCUUUGCAAUAGGCGAAAGCCUGACAAGGUUACUCUGAGUGAUCUCCGCUAAGGAAAUCUUUUGACACCUCUAAAAAUGGUGUAGAAUAAGGGGUGGGCAAGCCUGGUGUCAGCCGCCGCGGUAAUACCAGCACCCCGAGUGGUCGGGACGAUUAUUGGGCCUAAAGCAUCCGUAGCCGGUUCUUUAAGUCCUCCGUUAAAUCCACCUGCUUAACAGAUGGGCUGCGGAGGAUACUAUAGAGCUAGGAGGCGGGAGAGGCAAGCGGUACUCAGUGGGUAGGGGUAAAAUCCGUUGAUCCAUUGAAGACCACCAGUGGCGAAGGCGGCUUGCCAGAACGCGCUCGACGGUGAGGGAUGAAAGCUGGGGGAGCAAACCGGAUUAGAUACCCGGGUAGUCCCAGCUGUAAACGAUGCAGACUCGGUGAUGAACAGGCUUCGUGCCUGUUCAGUGCCGCAGGGAAGCCGUUAAGUCUGCCGCCUGGGGAGUACGGUCGCAAGACUGAAACUUAAAGGAAUUGGCGGGGGAG
rnacentral:rRNA from 1 species